UACGGGGGGGGCAAGCGUUGUUCGGAAUUAUUGGGCGUAAAGGGCGCGUAGGCGGCCUUCUAAGUCGAACGUGAAAUCCCUGGGCUCAACCCAGGAACUGCGUCCGAUACUGGGAGGCUUGAAUCCGGGAGAGGGAUGCGGAAUUCCAGGUGUAGCGGUGAAAUGCGUAGAUAUCUGGAGGAACACCGGUGGCGAAGGCGGCAUCCUGGACCGGUAUUGACGCUGAGGCGCGAAAGCCAGGGGAGCAAACGGG
rnacentral:rRNA from 1 species